CUUGCCGCAGUCUUACUGACGUUCAUGCUCGAAGGUGCGGGUAUCGAACAGGAUUAGAUACCCUGGUAGUCCGCACGGUAAACGAUGGAUGCCCGCUGUUGGCGACACACUGUCAGCGGCCAAGCGAAAGCAUUAAGCAUCCCACCUGGGGAGUACGCCGGCAACGGUGAAACUCAAAGGAAUUGACGGGGGCCCGCACAAGCGGAGGAACAUGUGGUUUAAUUCGAUGAUACGCGAGGAACCUUACCCGGGCUUGAACUGCAGGAGAAGGAUACAGAGAUGUUGACGCCCUUCGGGGCUCCUGUGGAGGUGCUGCAUGGUUGUCGUCAGCUCGUGCCGUGAGGUGUCGGCUUAAGUGCCAUAACGAGCGCAACCCCUCUCUUCAGUUGCCAUCAGGCUAUGCUGGGCACUCUGGAGACACUGCCACCGCAAGGUGUGAGGAAGGUGGGGACGACGUCAAAUCAGCACGGCCCUUACGUCCGGGGCUACACACGUGUUACAAUGGGUGGUACAGAGAGUAAGUCCCCAGCAAUGUGGAUUCAAUCAUGAAAGCCAUCCUCAGUUCGGAUUGGGGUCUGCAACCCGACCCCAUGAAGCUGGA
rnacentral:rRNA from 1 species